rnacentral:lncRNA from 1 species
AAAAAUGAAAAACCACUAACAUAAAAAAACUAAAGUGGAGGAGAAUACAAAUUGAUUUUCAGUACAAAAAAAUGUCGCCUAGCCGCAAGCCACGGGAGGCCCAUCCCCAACGUGUCAGAUUGUGUCCCAAAGGAUUGGGCAAUAUUGUCUUUCCAUCGAGGUGGGGGCUUUCUAGUUGCUAACGAUCAUCCCAAGGUUUUUGUUUGAGACAUUUAAAUGGUUAAGAAUGCAGAACGCAGGUUGAUUCAAUGGGGCAGUUUCAAAUUUAAGAAUAUGUUGUGUUACCAAUUACCAUAUACGUGAACUAGCAGAACAAUAUGCACUGAACAAGGAGAAAAUUUAUCAGCAGAGAUGAGUAGUUGUGCUGUUGUGCAUCAGUAAGCAAAUGCUGCAUCACCAUCAGUAAUUGCAAACCUUGCGGAUGGAUCCAUCAGACUCAUCCU